rnacentral:rRNA from 1 species
GAUGAACGCUGGCGGCGUGCCUAAUACAUGCAAGUCGAGCGAACCACUUCGGUGGUGAGCGGCGAACGGGUGAGUAACACGUAGGUGAUCUGCCCAUCAGACGGGGACAACGAUUGGAAACGAUCGCUAAUACCGGAUAGGACGAAAGUUUAAAGGUGCUUCUGGCACCGCUGACGGAUGAGCCUGCGGCGCAUUAGCUAGUUGGUAGGGUAAAGGCCUACCAAGGCGACGAUGCGUAGCCGACCUGAGAGGGUGAACGGCCACACUGGGACUGAGACACGGCCCAGACUCCUACGGGAGGCAGCAGUAGGGAAUCUUCGGCAAUGGGCGAAAGCCUGACCGAGCAACGCCGCGUGAGUGAUGAAGGCCUUCGGGUUGUAAAAUUCUGUUAUAAGGGAAGAACGACUUUAGUAGGAAAUGGCUAGAGUGUGACGGUACCUUAUGAGAAAGCCACGGCUAACUACGUGCCAGCCGCCGCCGUAACAC